rnacentral:rRNA from 1 species
GACGUAGGGGGCGAGCGUUGUCCGGAUUUACUGGGCGUAAAGAGCGCGCAGGCGGUCGUUCAAGUCGAGUGUGAAAGCCCCCGGCUCAACUGGGGAGGGUCACUCGAUACUGAUCGACUUGAAGGCAGGAGAGGGAAGCGGAAUUCCCGGUGUAGUGGUGAAAUGCGUAGAUAUCGGGAGGAACACCAGUGGCGAAGGCGGCUUCCUGGCCUGUUCUUGACGCUGAGGCGCGAAAGCUAGGGGAGCAAACGGG